CCUAGCAGCUGUCGCAGCGCCGACUCCCGCAGGAGACGUGGAAAAGCACGUGGGCUGCUCGCAGGGAGGUGGCUUUCCUUGCAGGAGUGGAUCUAAAACCAAGAAAUUCGGCUGAUUUUCAACUAGGAGUUCUGAGGCAAAUUUCUUCUCUGAACCUCCAUUUCUUCAUUUUCAAAAUGGCAGUCAUACCUACCUCAAAGGAUAUUGUGAAAACAUAUGAAGUAAUGUACGUUCCUUCCUUGACCGUGGCUUGGGCUCAAUGUGUUCCAGGGGCACAGCGUCUCAGAGAAGAGCAACCUAAUCGCUGCUGGGCUCAGCCACUGGCCCCUGGAGGAAGGUUCUGGAUAUUGCAAGGCCCCAAGUUACUAGGCAAUGUGGGGACUGUGCAUUCAUUUUGCAGCUAAGCUGGACUGAAGAACUCUUUUCUAACCCUUUAUUUCCCCUUUGUGAGUGUGUGCUGUUUACUUUUUGGGGCACCCAACUUUAAGUGUCUUAAAUGGUUUUGCUCAUGAUACACCCAGAAGUCACUGAGAUAGUUCCUACUUCCAGAGGCUAUGUGUUCAGACUUAAAAAUCAGGAUACUGUUUAGAGUUUGACAAAGAAGUUUUGGUCUGCUUCUGAGAGUCAGAGGAGUUUUGGGAGAUGCAAUUUGUUUGAAGAAACAUUAGAAUUUCUGGCACAUCUUCAUAGUUGUUGUUUUUGCAGGGGUGGUAAUGUGGCAGAAUUAAUAAAAUAAAAUGGUGAUCAUUUAAUGGCUUCUUUAUUGAUUGCCAGGAACGCUGG